rnacentral:misc_RNA from 1 species
GUAACAAGGUUUCCGUAGGUGAACCUGCGGAAGGAUCAUUACCGAGUGCGGGCUGCCUCCGGGCGCCCAACCUCCCACCCUUGACUACCUAACACUGUUGCUUCGGCGGGGAGCCCUCUCGGGGGCGAGCCGCCGGGGACUACUGAACUUCAUGCCUGAGAGUGAUGCAGUCUGAGUCUGAAUAUAAAAUCAGUCAAAACUUUCAACAAUGGAUCUCUUGGUUCCGGCAUCGAUGAAGAACGCAGCGAACUGCGAUAAGUAAUGUGAAUUGCAGAAUUCAGUGAAUCAUCGAGUCUUUGAACGCACAUUGCGCCCCCUGGCAUUCCGGGGGGCAUGCCUGUCCGAGCGUCAUUGCUGCCCAUCAAGCCCGGCUUGUGUGUUGGGUCGUCGUCCCCCCCGGGGGACGGGCCCGAAAGGCAGCGGCGGCACCGUGUCCGGUCCUCGAGCGUAUGGGGCUUUGUCACCCGCUCGAUUAGGGCCGGCCGGGCGCCAGCCGACGUCUCCAACCAUUUUUUUCAGGUUGACCUCGGAUCAGGUAGGGAUACCCGCUGAACUUAAGCAUAUCAAUAAGCGGAGGAAAAGAAACCAACCGGGAUUGCCCCAGUAACGGCGAGUGAAGCGGCAAGAGCUCAAAUUUGAAAUCUGGCCCCUCCGGGGUCCGAGUUGUAAUUUGCAGAGGAUGCUUCGGGUGCGGCCCCUGUCUAAGUGCCCUGGAACGGGCCGUCAGAGAGGGUGAGAAUCCCGUCUUGGGCAGGGUGCCCGUGCCCGUGUGAAGCUCCUUCGACGAGUCGAGUUGUUUGGGAAUGCAGCUCUAAAUGGGUGGUAAAUUUCAUCUAAAGCUAAAUACCGGCCGGAGACCGAUAGCGCACAAGUAGAGUGAUCGAAAGAUGA